rnacentral:snoRNA from 1 species
UGGCUACGAUUAUACAUUUAUCGCGCUUCUAUGAAGCACAAGGAAUUACAAAAAAAAAAAGGUCGAAUUUCUUGAUAUGAGCCA